rnacentral:rRNA from 1 species
AUUGAACGCUGGCGGCAGGCCUAACACAUGCAAGUCGAGCGGUAGAGAGGUGCUUGCAUCUCUUGAGAGCGGCGGACGGGUGAGUAAUGCCUAGGAAUCUGCCUAGUGGUGGGGGAUAACGUUCGGAAACGGACGCUAAUACCGCAUACGUCCUACGGGAGAAAGCGGGGGAUCUUCGGACCUCGCGCCAUUAGAUGAGCCUAGGUCGGAUUAGCUAGUUGGUGAGGUAAUGGCUCACCAAGGCGACGAUCCGUAACUGGUCUGAGAGGAUGAUCAGUCACACUGGAACUGAGGACACGGUCCAGACUCCUACGGGAGGCAGCAGUGGGGAAUAUUGGACAAUGGGCGAAAGCCUGAUCCAGCCAUGCCGCGUGUGUGAAGAAGGUCUUCGGAUUGUAAAGCACUUUCAGCGAGGAGGAAGGGUUGUGUGUUAAUAGCACAUAG